CCUUUACGCAACACGUCUCCCCUAUUGUUGUUUUAGUGGGAUAGGUGAAUGAUAAAAAUACAUAUGCGAAUUAGAACACAACAUGCACCCACACAACAAACUAAUCCACACUUCACUACACUAAACGUAAUUAAUUAAUUAAUAAAUACAAACUGUCAUGGUGUAUUCUGGAAGGAAGUUGACGGACCCAAGUGCGGAGCACAGGGGCUUUAAUAUGGGAAAUCCAAGAAUCGUUGUCACAGGACAGGCGAAGGUCUCCGAGGUGCGUACGUCGUAGAACAGGAAAUCCAAAAGACGAGGUCGAUAAACAGGCAAGAGGUUGAUGAUCACAAAGAGUCAAGGAGGACAAAGGAGUGGGGCAAGGAAACUGGGAAGAGGACAUGAGGGCAAGGAAGACGCUAAGGCUGAGCAAGGAGGUAAGGAGUCGCAAGGCUGAACAAGGUUCUGUGUUAGAUUUUCUCACCCGCACCUGCUCUCACAGGAAACCCUCCUAUGCCGACGCCAUGUCGGGGAGCCGGGUGUCUGGCGGAAGGGAGGAAAGGAUGCUUUUUCAACCCAAUGUUGCUGAGGAGCAGGUGCAUGCAGAGCCAGGAGCAGAGAAGGAACACCUGACGUUGUUUGCUAUACCAGUGACCUCGCCCACCAAAGCCCAGGGUACCCCAAGGACACAAACAGGAAGAGGAGUAAAGGCCUCACUCCAAAAGGUUACAAGAAGAGCAGAAGAGAGGAGGGGGUGAGUAUGAAAGAAGAAAAACCGGCAGCAAAGAUGGAGGAGGACCAAGACCAAUGUUUGCCGUUAUGCUUUUUACAGGAAGUCCACCUUUGGGACCAGCGGGAUGUGGCCAUAUUCUCCGCUGGUUGGAGGAAGGGUAGAUCGUGCUGGAGUGUGGGUGGCGUCCACUCCACAGGGGACCUUUUUACAGCAUUUGAAGGCGACCCUCCCGGCUGAUUCCCAGGCUCCCUUAGAGGCACCCAUCACUCUGGGGGAACUGUCCGAGGUGCUUUCCAAAGUGAACCAGAGGAAAGUCCCAGGUUUGGACAGACUGCCGGUAGAAUUUUAUUCCACAUUCUGGGAUGUCCUGGGCCCUGUCUUCCUCGAGGUUCUGGAAGAAGUGCUGACCCAAGCACUGCUUCCGUCUGGCAGCUCCCCUGUAACACCCACACCAGCAUUUCGUCGCCUCUGGGUGUCUUUCCCUUUGCGGCAUUUGGUGAAUUCGUGGUCCAAUGUUGGACAAAGGCCGAGUCUCUGCCAGACCACUACAAGCAGAUGGUGAAAUGGAGUAAAAUCAUUCCGGCAGACACUGAUGCUAGCACCCUCCUCAAGCAUAAAGUGUUAUAUAAUGCUUUGCUGGAGAGGAGGGGAACGCGAGUGAUGUUGGGCCUUGGGGAAGACAU